rnacentral:rRNA from 1 species
AUUGAACGCUGGCGGCAGGCCUAACACAUGCAAGUCGAGCGGAUGAAGGGAGCUUGCUCCUGGAUUCAGCGGCGGACGGGUGAGUAAUGCCUAGGAAUCUGCCUGGUAGUGGGGGAUAACGUCCGGAAACGGGCGCUAAUACCGCAUACGUCCUGAGGGAGAAAGUGGGUGAUCUUCGGACCUCACGCUAUCAUAUGAGCCUAGGUCGGAUUAGCUAGUUGGUGGGGUAAAGGCCUACCAAGGCGACGAUCCGUAACUGGUCUGAGAGGAUGAUCAGUCACACUGGAACUGAGACACGGUCCAGACUCCUACGGGAGGCAGCAGUGGGGAAUAUUGGACAAUGGGCGAAAGCCUGAUCCAGCCAUGCCGCGUGUGUGAAGAAGGUCUUCGGAUUGUAAAGCACUUUAAGUUGGGAGGAAGGGCAGUAAGUUAAUACCUUGCUGUUUUGACGUUACCAACAGAAUAAGCACCGGCUAACUUCGUG